rnacentral:rRNA from 1 species
CCUUGAAAUACCACCCUUUAAUGUUUGAUGUUCUAACGUUGACCCGUGAUCCGGGUUGCGGACAGUGUCUGGUGGGUAGUUUGACUGGGGCGGUCUCCUCCUAAAGAGUAACGGAGGAGCACGAAGGUUGGCUAAUCCUGGUCGGACAUCAGGAGGUUAGUGCAAUGGCAUAAGCCAGCUUGACUGCGAGCGUGACGGCGCGAGCAGGUGCGAAAGCAGGUCAUAGUGAUCCGGUGGUUCUGAAUGGAAGGGCCAUCGCUCAACGGAUAAAAGGUACUCCGGGGAUAACAGGCUGAUACCGCCCAAGAGUUCAUAUCGACGGCGGUGUUUGGCACCUCGAUGUCGGCUCAUCACAUCCUGGGGCUGAAGUAGGUCCCAAGGGUAUGGCUGUUCGCCAUUUAAAGUGGUACGCGAGCUGGGUUUAGAACGUCGUGAGACAGUUCGGUCCCUAUCUGCCGUGGGCGCUGGAGAACUGAGGGGGGCUGCUCCUAGUACGAGAGGACCGGAGUGGACGCAUCACUGGUGUUCGGGUUGUCAUGCCAAUGGCACUGCUCGGUAGCUAAAUGCGGAAGAGAUAAGUGCUGAAAGCAUCUAAGCACGAAACUUGCCCCGAGAUGAGUUCUCCCUGACUCCUUGAGAGUCCUGAAGGAACGUUGAAGACGACGACGUUGAUAGGCCGGGUGUGUAAGCGCAGCGAUGCGUUGAGCUAACCGGUACUAAUGAACCGUGAGGCUUAACCUU